rnacentral:rRNA from 1 species
AGUGAACGCUGGCGGUAGGCCUAACACAUGCAAGUCGAACGGCAGCACAGUAAGAGCUUGCUCUUACGGGUGGCGAGUGGCGGACGGGUGAGGAAUACAUCGGAAUCUACUUUUUCGUGGGGGAUAACGUAGGGGAACUUACGCUAAUACCGCAUACGACCUACGGGUGAAAGCAGGGGAUCUUCGGACCUUGCGCGAUUGAAUGAGCCGAUGUCGGAUUAGCCAGUUGGCGGGGUAAAGGCCCACCAAGGCGACGAUCCGUAGCUGGUCUGAGAGGAUGAUCAGCCACACUGGAACUGAGACACGGUCCAGACUCCUACGGGAGGCAGCAGUGGGGAAUAUUGGACAAUGGGCGCAAGCCUGAUCCAGCCAUACCGCGUGGGUGAAGAAGGCCUUCGGGUUGUAAAGCCCUUUUGUUGGGAAAGAAAAGCAGUAGGUUAAUACCCCGCUGUUCUGACGGUACCCAAAGAAUAAGCACCGGCUAACUUCGUG